CCCCCUUGCCCACAGGUUCCCCAGCUUGGUGUAACACAGGCCCGAGGUAUGUGAGGUGCAAGGGCCAGGCAGGAUCCACCUGGGUUUAACAAGGGAGGGAUUUUGCUGCUCGUAAAACCCCGGGACCUGACCCCUAAAGCUCAUCCGUGCCUGCAGGGUCCAUCCUGGUGUGAAUCAACGCGCUGUGCCCGGCUCUACCCUGCCCGCCGGCAUGGCUUGGAGCUCUCCCCCGCCCCACUAAUUGGGGUCUCUCAUUAAAAACGAUCUAGCAGCACCAUGUGCAUCGGUCAGCAGCACGUCCCCCGUUCACCAGGAGCCAAAACACCCCCGUGGUUCCUUGGACGGCUUAGUUUGAGAACCAAAGGGGCAGCUGAGCUUUAGAGAUGACCUGCAAAGCUGAAGAGGUCAUCUCGACCCUCUGCAUUUAAACUGCAUGCUAACACUAUAGAAACAAAAAAAAAAUCCCAAAAAAACCUGUACUAUCACCGACGCAUGAACUGUAGAUAUCAUACCGACCAAUAAAGCCCUUUCUGUAACUGCA